UGCAAACUUUUCAGGGAAAGCCUUGCCUGUAGAAAAGAGCAGCGCAUCUUUCUCUUCUGCAUGAUAUGACAGCUGCUAUGACAUCAGGCUGUUCGCCAAAGAACGAGCAGACUACAUGAGCUUCCAGUGAGCAAGGCUGUCAACUGUCAUGUUUGAUCCUUCUCCCCGCAAAGCGCAGCCUCUGUCAGAGGUCCUCAAAAAGACUCACCCUCAGGCCAGCUUCUACACCUCCACUUGAGGACGAUUCUUUGGCUUGGGACCUGUGAGAAGAUAAGAAGGUUCUCCUCAUUAGUGUUUGAGAUAAUUCACGCCGACUAUGCAAUGCUAAUUCUCCCCUGAAAAAUAAGGAGAGGCACAUUAUCUUACGUAAUAGUAGACACAUGCAUGUAAACAAUACAAAGAUUGGGGUUUGUUGGGUGUUUUUUUUUUUAAAA